rnacentral:rRNA from 1 species
AUGAUGCAAGAGCAAUAUCAAAUGUUCAUGAUGGGCGAGCUAAAGUUCUUUCUGGGUCUUCAAAUCUGUCAGGAAAGCAACGGCAUCUACAUAUCACAAGAAAAAUAUCUCAAAGAUUGCCUGAAGAAGUUUGGAAUGCAAGAUUGCAAAGGAUACACGACGCCAAUGCCAACCAAAAGUCAUCUGGGUCCCGACGACAAUGGUAAAGAGUUCGAUCAAAAGGUAUAUCGCUCCAUGAUUGGUUCUUUGCUUUACUUAUGUGCAUCUAGGCCAGAUAUAAUGCUUAGUGUUUGCAUGUGUGCCUGA